rnacentral:rRNA from 1 species
ACGGAGGGUGCGAGCGUUGUCCGGAAUCACUGGGCGUAAAGGGCGCGUAGGCGGCAUGCCAAGCGUGUGGUGAAAGCCCGGGGCUCAACCCCGGGUCGGCCGUGCGGACUGGCGUGCUCGAGCACUGUAGGGGCGGGUGGAAUUCCGGGUGUAGCGGUGGAAUGCGUAGAGAUCCGGAAGAACACCGGUGGCGAAGGCGGCCCGCUGGGCAGGAAGGGGGAGCAAUCCCCCGGCUGACGCUGAGGCGCGACAGCGUGGGGAGCAAACAGGA